rnacentral:other from 1 species
AUUCCCCUGCGAUGUUCGUGAUUGGGUUAAAAAUUUGAGCCAACAGUAACAGAACGGGAGCUUUCCCUAACUGUGGUGAGCAAGCCUCCACGAAAGAGGAGGACGCCUUAAGCAGCGAUAAAGCGCCCACUUGAACCUACAGGUUCGAAUCUGUUACCCACACGGCACCGUGGGGGAUUU